AUGCAUGAGGAACAAAGCAUACGUUGCCUACCAGAGUCACUUCUCUCCCCUGCCCUUAGAGACAGGGCCUGCAAAUCUAAUGGGAAGGCUGUCCGGUUACCAUGGGAACCAGCUGGGAGUGGCCAACGUGGACGGGAAAUCUUAAUCACUUUAACAGAAGGGAUGGAUCAUAUUUAUAAGCGGAAGAAACCAGGACAGGGAGGAAGGAAAGAUUCGAGAUGUAGGAGAGAGAAGACGAUGCUGAAAGUGUUUGAGGGAUUUGUGUGUGGGAUGAACCCCAACUGCCAGGGGAGAAAUCAGACCAGAGGGGCAGAGGCGCCUCUCCGGAAGAAACCAAGGUAAAGGAAGUGAAGAGGGCCUUAGAGAUGACUGGAUUAUGAGAAUAGUUGAAAGUGUCCCUCCCUGACACUUCCCUUUCUGUACAGUAAGUUCAAGGCUGAAAGCAAGAAUGAUGGGAAUAAAAGACCGAGACACAAAACAGAGGAUUUUGACAGCCAUGUGACCAGGGAAAAGGCAAAUGACCAGAAAGAAGGAAAAUAAGUACUAAGCUCUGUCAGGCAGCUUUCAAACUGUAGCAGGCAUCAGAACCACACGAAGAGCUUGUCAAACACAAUCUGUUGGACCUUAGCCCCAAAUAUCUAGUGUGGUAGGUCUGGAACAGGACACGAAAAUUCGCAUUUCUAACAUGCUCCUAUCGGUACUGACACUGCUACUCUAGGGACUCCGUUUGCUAUUAAAAUAAAAGUGAUUAAAGCCAGGCGUGAUGGCGCACGCCUGGGAUCCCAGCACUUGGGAGGCUGAGGCAGGAGGAUCGCUGUGAGUUCGAGACCAGCCUGGGCUACAUAGUGAGUUCCAGGUCAGUCUCAACUACAUAGUGAGACCCUGUCUCAAAAAACCAAAAAUAAGUAAAUAAAACCAACAAAAUAAAAGGAAUUAGAAAACAUUUCCACUGCAGAGAAUUAAAGGGUGCAAUUUAUGAUUGAUCAGGUGGCAAAAUCUCACGGUACCGUGUCUACAUGUUUGGAUUGGUGUCUUCAGAAUUCCCCACCACCGUUCAGGCUCUUUCCCUAGCAGGGAAGGCCUUUUCCUCUCCAGCCCACGAAUAGCUCUACACAUCAUCCAAGGUCGAGUGCUACCUUCCCAGGGCCUGGUCUUUCCCCUCUCGCUUUGGAAAAGUCUGCGCUCUGCUUUCUGCACGCACAUAAUCUGCGCUCCUCUCUUAGUUUGCCUGGCAUUUGUUGUUAUUCUUCCAGACGCCUGGGCACCCACACCCCGGAACUGUGUGAUGAUGUCAGGCACAGAGUCCCCUUUAGCUUCACGCACCCGCUAUCACGGUUAGCAGUGUCUGGCACAGCGAGGUACCCACAACCAUGGCUGGGACUAAACAACAGGCAGGCUCACUUAGCAGACUGCUUAAGAGACUUCGAAGCUUCCAGCCAAACAAGCAAGAGAACAUUAAGUCAGAGAACAUCAGAAUAAAAUUUCACUUUACAUGAUUUGCCUCUUCCCCCUUGACAGAAGCUCUUAUUAAAAUAACAUUAGCUGAAAAAUAUUUCUGUGCCAAAAGCAAUUAUGAUAAUCUUUCCCUGCAUUUAUUUAAUUCUUUUUAUUCUAAAAGUUCAUGGUGCACAGGCCUCAGCUCACAAGGAAAGCAAAGCGCUGAACUGGACUUGAACUUCUCAUUUCUUUGCUAGACAAGCUCUGUUCUCUUCUAACUCAUCUGGGAGCCCAUUAGUAUUGCAGAUGUCUGAGUUUAGAUUUCUGCAUUUGACGUCCUCAGCAAAUCCACGUGGGCAUGGAUUCAAAAGAGAGGUUUCGAUUAGUUCCCCUUAAAGGAUGAAAUGCUGUUGUCCCUCGCAGGAUGCUCUCAUCUUUAACAGGUGAUUAAGGUCCUCUAGGCUCACAUGGCUUUUCAGUCUGUUUCAGCCAAUUAUGGUACUAAAUAAAAAGCAAAAGGGUGGGGGGGGAAUGGAAAGCAGGAACUGGGUAUGGAGAUACCUCAAAAAACUAGGGUUUGAGUUCCCAUUUGACAUAGCUAUUCCCCUGCUGGGCAUCUUCCCAAAAGAAUCACACCACAGUGACAUAUGCACACCCAUGUUUAUAGGCGCAGUUUGUAAUAGCUAAAGCUUGGAAAAGCCCAAUUUCCCAUCUACUGGAGACUGGAUAAAGAAGAUGUAUCAAUGUGUUCUUCACGCUUUUCUACUGGUAAAGCAGUCUGUUUCUUGGACUGAUUUGCAGUGUACUCUCAGACAUCACCCAUUGGGUUUCUGCACCCCAGAGGGCUUUCAGCCCCCUUUCCACUGGUCUUAAUUCCCUCCUUCAAGGUUUCAGAAAAAUGAAUGACAUACACCUGUAUGCACACAUCAUCUGCGACUGAUACCAUAGACCCUAUAAUUGGUUUUUGUUCCUGACUUCCACUGCACAGUUUCAGAACUUCUUGGAUUUUCCACAGCGAUAUGAAAAUAUUUUUCACACCAAUGAGAUAAUUCACAGUUGGCCCCUGGAGAGUUCCAGAUGGGGAGGUCACAUGAUCCAGAAAGACAGAUCACAUGAUAAAAAGGUUAGAAUGUGGGGCCAGCCUUGCCUCUGGGGAGGGGAGGGAACAUGGCCCUCAAGUUCAAUCCCGUGGUGAAUGACUUACUGAAUUAUGUCUACAUAAUGAAACUCCAACCACUUCCCUGGACACCCAAACGCCCUGUUUGGUAAUAGACUGAUGUACUGAGGGGUAACAUGCCAGGUUUCCACAAGGAAUAAGAAUAGGAAUGCUGUACUCCUCCCAGAUCUCACCCUAUGUGGAUCCUUAUCAUAAAACCGUCAUAGUAUGGAGAGCUCUUUUAAUGAGUAUUGUGAAUCAGUCUAUACAAUUAUCAAAUCUGAGAUGGUCAUGGAAACCCCUGAAUUUAUAUCCCAUUAGCUGGAAGUGUGCACUGCCCAUGAAUGCCACACAAGACUGGCCUCCGAAAUGAGUGCAGUCUGGUGUAGAAGUUAUCCCUUAACUGUUAGGGUCUAUAAUAGUCCAGGUGGGUAGCGACGGAAGAAAAUCAUGUGCUGCACUCCUGUUAGGGUUUCAACAAAACAAUGGCAGAGUAAGGUCUGGCUGACUUCUUUCAUAAGCUCUUGUGAUGACUAAGCCUAACUGUCCAAUUAAUUAGUUUGAGAUCAGCCUACGGGAUUAGUAAAAGAUGCUUCUAAAUUGUGUCUAGGUGUGUGGCGGAGGUGUGACCUCCAGUCUACAUUUUUUCCCCGGGACCCCUUUGUUGGGAGCUGUCCCCCUGCUGUGCUUCCCAGCAGACAUCAUGUGAACAAAUUUUCCUAUUUCUGUUUUGGAGCCAGCCAACUACAGACUGAAUGCUCCAAAACUGUAAGCCAAAUGAAACCUCUCUCCCUUUACGUUGUGCAUGUCAGCUUUUUUUUUUUUAAUUUAUUUAUUUAUUUUUUACUAGCAAUGGGAAUUCAGUUACCUCUCACCUCUAUAGCCACGGACAGGGUUAUUGCUUGAUGUACUUUGGAGAGCAAGGCCCAGUGGUCUUUUCCAUUUGUUCUAUGUUGCAUAGCCAGGAGAGAUGGGAGCUGAAUUAAAUUUAAAUGAAUUCUUUCUUGCUGUAACAUCACCUGUAAACCAUCAUCAGAUAUGUGAGAGCCCCCUUCCCUCCUGUUUGAGACCUGUUUUUGAGGAUAGAACUUCCUUCCUACCUGGCUUCUCUAAGAGACUUACUUUUUUGUACCAACCAGCUGGGUUUCUCAAAAUCAACUGUAGAAGCCACUCAUCAAAAUAAGCCAAGGCAUUCACUGAAAAGAUUGGCUCCAGACACAUAGACAGAGAGUGUGGAAUCUUCGUGGAGGAUGCAGAGAGUCAAAAUUAGCUCCAGAGUUGGUUCUUGUAUACACAGUCAUAUAAACAAAGAACAUCCUCUCUGUGUACCUGAUAGUAAGACCAAAAAUAAUAAUCUGCCUUCUAUGAGAUAUUGAGACCCUGAGC
rnacentral:lncRNA from 1 species